ACAAAUAAAAGCGAGGCCCACGGGUCGUCCUAUCUCUCCCCUGUCUCGGGUUCGUGGCUGAGGCAGAUCGCAUCUUGCUUCGCGACGGCGGCGGCGUAGAGCCAUCCUUCGAUUUUGAUGAACUACGUGGACUCAUGACCCUCCGCGUGCUUGCGAAGGUGACAAGCCCCCACAAGCCCAAGCGCUUGAUGCGCCCAAGCGAAACGGCAGGUCUGUACCCGAUGCCUCUCGCGAUCUAGAUUUGGAGGAGGGGUCGCCUCCCGUUCCGUCCCGGGCAGCGGAUGUGGAGGGGAGAGAGAGAGAGAGAGGAGUGAGGGAGAAGCAUAGAGGAUUCUGCCGGCGGUACUGCUUAGAACGGGGACAAAGGAGGAGGCUAUUUUGGUUCUUUGAUUGAUCCAAUCCUUCCUACGCCCGUAAUUUUCUCGGACACAAAUUUCACAUCUAGCUGCGGCCAUGGGAUGUUCGGCAGGGAAUCCGGCAGGGUCUCUUUUGGCCGUUCCACGGGCCGAUGUGCUCAAAAUACACAUCUACUCUAUCGACUGAAGUCCUAGCCCAAUUGUUCCUUUCGUUGCUUAACAUUGCAGUCUUGCCGUUCUGCCAAAGUCGUCAGAAUAUUGCCGUUCUGCCAACCUCGCCGGAAUUUCUCCAUACUGCUGACUUCGCCAAAAUUACGUCCGCCCGUGCUCUAGGUACGUCGUUCAAACUGGUUGAGCAAUACUGAUUCGAAGUUGUUUUGGUCAAACGGCUAAACUGAACCAUGCUACUACAGAGUAGCCAAAAGGAGAUUCAGUUUUUUUCCUGUGAACUGAAGCUGCUAAACCGAACCAUGCUACUACACAAUAGCCAACAAUGUUGAAUACUGAUUUGGAUUUGAAGUUUGGCUGAUAAAUAUGAGUAUCAUCAUAUAAUUUCUGUCUGAUGUUUCUAGAAUAUGUAAUUGGUAAUGUUAUUUUCGGUUUGACAGACGUGGAUGAUAAGUUCCAGUACCACUUUGUGUGAUGCAGUAUUCUUUGCUUUUUGAAUUUAUUAAUAGUCGUUGCCGAACUCGAGCAGUCGAGCUUGCUUCUCAAUGGUGCCCUAUCGAAACCUAAAAAGUUCCUAUUUAUGGUUAAUAUAAAUCGUGUUGUCGCUACUUUGUAAAUAAGUCACAAACUUCUUAAUUCUUUUGUAUGGGUUGCUGUCAAAACACUAAACUUAAUUCAGUCAGGCCAUCAUUAUAGUAGUUUGUCUAAUGUACGAAACUCAUAACUUUGCUUGAUGCAUUCUUCGGGUUGAGGGUCUCAUGAUGGAUGACGUAACAGCUGUUAAAGAGGAGAAUAAAGGAUGGAAGAUGGCAUCAGAGGAGGAUGCUGAAGCUGGUAAAUCAAUUGAGCAAGAGUUCCUCACUCAUGCUACACCUUCAGGAUUUGCGCCGCACCAGUUCGAGGGCUUCAGAACCAUGCUGUUGUUGUUGUUGUCCUAUUUGCCAUUGCGCGCAUAUAUGAUUCUGACUCAGGGAGUAGGACUCUCUGACUCUAGCUCCUCUGUCGAUAUAGGUUGAGGGUCUCAUGAUGGAUGACGUAACAGCUGUUAAAGAGGAGAAUAAAAGAUGGAAGAUGGCAUCAGAGGAGGAUGCUGAAGCUGGCUACACCUUCAGGAUUUGCGUCGCACUAGUUCGAGGGCUUCGGAGCCAUGCUGCUGUUGUUGUCCUCUUUGCCGUUGCGUGCAUAUAUGAUUCUGACUCAGGGAGUAGGACUCUCUGACUCUGGCUCCUUUGUCGAUAUAGGGAGGUCGCACCUAGCCUAUUCUGCAAGGUCAAAAGGAAGAAUAUCUCUGGUUGCACAGCCAUACAGGGGAACAAAUGGAUUUCUGUGCUCCGUCGGGUCAACACCACUGAGUUGGUUCAUGAAUUCACCAAAUUAUGGUUGUUGAUCAGAGAGGUGCAAAUACCAAACAUAGACCAAGAUGUCGUCUCUUCACGUUGGACAGCGGAUGGAAUCUAUAUAGCACGCUCAACCUACAGGGCAAUGUUCUGGGGCUCAUACUUGGGCACUUGCUCUCAAACUUUCUGGAAGGCUGAAAACAAAGUAAAAAAAUUAUGUUGGCCCCUGUCGCUUGGGAGGAUUAUGUCCGCGGACAAGCUGAUCCGGAGAGGAUGGUAAGGAAGCGAGAUUUGUUCGAUGUACGGUUCGCAGAAGGAGUCGGCGGAGCAUCUUCUUCUGAACAGCUGUUUCACUCGCCAAGUUUGGAGGAGGAUCGCGACUUGGUCUGGUUUCAAGACAUUAUCACCUGAAGAUGGCCUCCGGGAGGGCAUGGUUUACUCCUGGUAGCUGGAGCUAAUGGUGUGUAUGCUUCCAAAUGUUGAUAUAAGGAAGAUGUUAUUCUGAUCAAUUCUUUCUGAUGCGAGCUUUAAACAGAUGACAUGCUAAAAACAAUCAAAUUAAUGUGUCUUUAGGAUAGUUGAAUUCAUGAUACUUCUAUAAUAUCUAUGCAAAAAAAUGUGGUCGUGCGGAUGCACUAGAUGUGGGCAGUAGCUCGUGGAGGGUGGCCUUCAAAUCCUAGAACAUUCACUUGUGCUAUUGCGGUUUAACUCAUGAGCUAGCAGAGCUCGUUGCCUUGA